AGAAAAGUGGGAUCUUUCAUCGUAGCCUCGAGCCGGUGGAGAUCGUAUUGGAGAUGGGAGCUAACUCUUGCAGUUCAUCUUGGAGAGGGAAAACUGAAGUCUGGCUCUGCAUAAAUAGAGGGUUGCAUGUCCGUGAUGCUGCAACUACGAACUGGGUAAAGCCUCCACCUUUCUUAUUUCUUCUCAAUGGGCUUCGAUCAGUCGGAAUGUCGACUAAAAUUGCCGCUGCGGGUUCAAUUCCCCAUUACGGAUCUUGAUCGAUUAGUCAGUGUGCACGGGUGCAACUCCUCUUCUGCCUUAGUUGACCGCCAAGUCCUGUUGCCAACUCUCACCGAGGAGACGAAUCAUUGAGGGUGAGGCUCUGUGUCAUUCUGCUUGGCAUUUUGAAUUGGUAGUUUAGGCUUUGUGGCUUUGUAUUGCUUGUUUUUUGGGAAGUGGUGGUGCAAGGCUUUUACUAUGGUGGAAGAAGGAAAACGAGGCAGAGCGGGGAGCUUCUUGUGUGAUGUGUAUUGCUGAGAUUGAAGGAAGAUAGUGUGGCGUCUUAUGCAGAUUUUUUUAGCGUUGGAACUUGGCCAUUCAUGAAUGACCCUAUGUUCCAGAGUUAGAAACUGCAGCAGCCAAGCACGUUGAGACUCCGGCCGUUCAUGAACGACCAUGUACGUCUCAACGCAGGAGCAGAUCACAUGAAGGUUGGCCGUUCAUGAACGACCAUGUAUUUCUUGGUAGCUUAAGAGAGACUCAACAAAAGAAAGAAGGUUGUUCAUGAACAGCCUAUCUUUUAUUGACAGCAAGCAUUCUGGACCAUGUAUCUCCAUGUUAAAGACGACGGGUACAGCAAGGAUGCAUUGUAUACCUGAGCUUCGCCUUUGAAUUGUUGAUGGAAGGACCUGCUUUGAUUUUGGCAGAACUUGGGUCUCUUGAUUACUGAUGUUUUUUUCUUCUCUCUUCUUCCUCUGCUGCCUUUUCUACCCCCUUGAUUGUUGUUAAAAGCCCCAUUUUAUAAGCAACGGAGAAGGAUAAGAGAUCAUGUUGGUUGAGCUCAAUUUGAUUCGAAAUUGAAAUGAUCUUCAGAUGACGAUGACCACUUCCACAUUCAAAUUUGUAACUGUAGGAAUUAUCCAUUGAAAGUUAUUUGAAUUUGAAAGCCUGUACAAAGUGCAGCAUAGGAUUGCUUCUUUGUCGCCAUACUGUUUCUCUUCCUUUUGGAGAUAAGAACAAAGGCCAACUAACUAAUCAUUCUUGUGCUUUUGAAUGAAUUUGUUUUGUGGCCAGGUCAAACUAUACAAGUAUAUAUAUUGCAAUGGGCUCCCACUUUUCUGAUU